rnacentral:misc_RNA from 1 species
AGUCGUAACAAGGUAACCGUAGGUGAACCUGCGGUUGGAUCAUUAUCUAUCUUGUCUAGCUAGAAGGUUGAACUUUGGUUUAACUAACUAGUCAAGACAUUAAAUAAUGUGACUUGAUUGUGAAUGUUAAGCAAUUGACGCUAACAAUCAAGAAACAACCACACCAUGUGAAACGUAUCUAAACUCGACUCUAACUAGUCGACUCUAUUGAGUUGGUCUAGGAAGAGUCUUGAAUUUUAAACACCAUUAUAACCAAGUGAAUCAAUUUCUAGUAGUAGAAUUAAAAAACAACUUUUGACAACGGAUCUCUUGGCUCUC